AGUUACCUGGCAACAGCCAGAAUAUGAAAUGAGUCAGCAUCUCAAUAUCAUUUCCAAUGUGAGUGAAGAAAUACUAUAAAAGCUACAUGCAUCCAUAAGACAAAGCAUGCGGUUCUUCCUCUACUUGGACGCUGUACUUCUCCAUCCUUCAAGUUUCAGCUCAAGCAGAAGCAUCCUCAGAAAGCCCUCGGAGAUCCACAUUAGGCCACGCACCUACUGAGCCUCUUGUAAGGAUGCCCCAUUGAGCCCGGAGACUCCCGUCCUAUUAAAUGGGUAACUGAAUAGUUGUUAUCUUCAUGGCUCCGAGGGGAGAGUUUGGACCCCGUUAAGAUUAGCAUGUAAACCUUCUUAGCUACCUCUCCAGCACCAUGCCUGCCUGUGUGUUCUCGUGCUCCACCAGGAUGAUAAUAGUCUAACCUUCUGAAAUGCAAUCACGGGCUGGCGUGCAUACUCGGACCUCUGACAGGGAAGCUAUGGAAGAAGACAACUCAGUUUCUGAUGCUUUCUUUACUCAAACCCUCCAGAAUUAAAUGAGAGGUUUUCAGCAAUGGGCAGGCCACACAGUGAUUACAUUUGAAUUUUGCUCCAUAGCCAGUAAAUAAAAUGUUGCACCUGGAUAACUCUGUGCUCCGUCAAAUGCAGUUCAA